rnacentral:tRNA from 1 species
GCCGAGGUAGCUCAACGGUAGAGCACAGCUUUCGUAAAGCUGGGGUUGUGGGUUCAAAUCCCAUCCUCGGCU